GUAGGCGGUUCGGUAAGUCCGCCGUGAAAACCUGGGGCUCAACCCCGGGCGUGCGGUGGAUACUGCCGGGCUAGAGGGUGGUAGAGGCGAGUGGAAUUCCNNCGGUGUUAGCGGUGAAAUGCGCAGAUAUCGGGAGGAACACCAGUAGCGAAGGCGGCUCGCUGGGCCAUUCCUGACGCUGAGACGCGAAAGCGUGGGGAGCGAACAGGAUUAGAUACCCUGGUAGUCCACGCCGUAAACGAUGAACACUAGGUGUUGGGGGAGUCGAAUCCCUCGGUGCCGCAGCCAACGCGUUAAGUGUUCCGCCUGGGGAGUACGGCCGCAAGGCUAAAACUCAAAAGAAUUGACGGGGUGCC
rnacentral:rRNA from 1 species